rnacentral:rRNA from 1 species
GGGUUGUGAGGUUAAGCGACUAAGCGUACACGGUGGAUGCCCUGGCAGUCAGAGGCGAUGAAGGACGUGCUAAUCUGCGAUAAGCGUCGGUAAGGUGAUAUGAACCGUUAUAACCGGCGAUUUCCGAAUGGGGAAACCCAGUGUGUUUCGACACACUAUCAUUAACUGAAUCCAUAGGUUAAUGAGGCGAACCGGGGGAACUGAAACAUCUAAGUACCCCGAGGAAAAGAAAUCAACCGAGAUUCCCCCAGUAGCGGCGAGCGAACGGGGAGCAGCCCAGAGCCUGAAUCAGUGUGUGUGUUAGUGGAAGCGUCUGGAAAGGCGCGCGAUACAGGGUGACAGCCCCGUACACAAAAAUGCACAUAUUGUGAGCUCGAUGAGUAGGGCGGGACACGUGGUAUCCUGUCUGAAUAUGGGGGGACCAUCCUCCAAGGCUAAAUACUCCUGACUGACCGAUAGUGAACCAGUACCGUGAGGGAAAGGCGAAAAGAACCCCGGCGAGGGGAGUGAAAAAGAACCUGAAACCGUGUACGUACAAGCAGUGGGAGCACGCUUAGGCGUGUGACUGCGUACCUUUUGUAUAAUGGGUCAGCGACUUAUAUUCUGUAGCAAGGUUAACCGAAUAGGGGAGCCGAAGGGAAACCGAGUCUUAACUGGGCGUUAAGUUGCAGGGUAUAGACCCGAAACCCGGUGAUCUAGCCAUGGGCAGGUUGAAGGUUGGGUAACACUAACUGGAGGACCGAACCGACUAAUGUUGAAAAAUUAGCGGAUGACUUGUGGCUGGGGGUGAAAGGCCAAUCAAACCGGGAGAUAGCUGGUUCUCCCCGAAAGCUAUUUAGGUAGCGCCUCGUGAACUCAUCUCCGGGGGUAGAGCACUGUUUCGGCAAGGGGGUCAUCCCGACUUACCAACCCGAUGCAAACUGCGAAUACCGGAGAAUGUUAUCACGGGAGACACACGGCGGGUGCUAACGUCCGUCGUGAAGAGGGAAACAACCCAGACCGCCAGCUAAGGUCCCAAAGUCAUGGUUAAGUGGGAAACGAUGUGGGAAGGCCCAGACAGCCAGGAUGUUGGCUUAGAAGCAGCCAUCAUUUAAAGAAAGCGUAAUAGCUCACUGGUCGAGUCGGCCUGCGCGGAAGAUGUAACGGGGCUAAACCAUGCACCGAAGCUGCGGCAGCGACGCUUAUGCGUUGUUGGGUAGGGGAGCGUUCUGUAAGCCUGUGAAGGUGUGCUGUGAGGCAUGCUGGAGGUAUCAGAAGUGCGAAUGCUGACAUAAGUAACGAUAAAGCGGGUGAAAAGCCCGCUCGCCGGAAGACCAAGGGUUCCUGUCCAACGUUAAUCGGGGCAGGGUGAGUCGACCCCUAAGGCGAGGCCGAAAGGCGUAGUCGAUGGGAAACAGGUUAAUAUUCCUGUACUUGGUGUUACUGCGAAGGGGGGACGGAGAAGGCUAUGUUGGCCGGGCGACGGUUGUCCCGGUUUAAGCGUGUAGGCUGGUUUUCCAGGCAAAUCCGGAAAAUCAAGGCUGAGGCGUGAUGACGAGGCACUACGGUGCUGAAGCAACAAAUGCCCUGCUUCCAGGAAAAGCCUCUAAGCAUCAGGUAACAUCAAAUCGUACCCCAAACCGACACAGGUGGUCAGGUAGAGAAUACCAAGGCGCUUGAGAGAACUCGGGUGAAGGAACUAGGCAAAAUGGUGCCGUAACUUCGGGAGAAGGCACGCUGAUAUGUAGGUGAAGUCCCUUGCGGAUGGAGCUGAAAUCAGUCGAAGAUACCAGCUGGCUGCAACUGUUUAUUAAAAACACAGCACUGUGCAAACACGAAAGUGGACGUAUACGGUGUGACGCCUGCCCGGUGCCGGAAGGUUAAUUGAUGGGGUCAGCGCAAGCGAAGCUCUUGAUCGAAGCCCCGGUAAACGGCGGCCGUAACUAUAACGGUCCUAAGGUAGCGAAAUUCCUUGUCGGGUAAGUUCCGACCUGCACGAAUGGCGUAAUGAUGGCCAGGCUGUCUCCACCCGAGACUCAGUGAAAUUGAACUCGCUGUGAAGAUGCAGUGUACCCGCGGCAAGACGGAAAGACCCCGUGAACCUUUACUAUAGCUUGACACUGAACAUUGAGCCUUGAUGUGUAGGAUAGGUGGGAGGCUUUGAAGUGUGGACGCCAGUCUGCAUGGAGCCGACCUUGAAAUACCACCCUUUAAUGUUUGAUGUUCUAACGUUGACCCGUAAUCCGGGUUGCGGACAGUGUCUGGUGGGUAGUUUGACUGGGGCGGUCUCCUCCUAAAGAGUAACGGAGGAGCACGAAGGUUGGCUAAUCCUGGUCGGACAUCAGGAGGUUAGUGCAAUGGCAUAAGCCAGCUUGACUGCGAGCGUGACGGCGCGAGCAGGUGCGAAAGCAGGUCAUAGUGAUCCGGUGGUUCUGAAUGGAAGGGCCAUCGCUCAACGGAUAAAAGGUACUCCGGGGAUAACAGGCUGAUACCGCCCAAGAGUUCAUAUCGACGGCGGUGUUUGGCACCUCGAUGUCGGCUCAUCACAUCCUGGGGCUGAAGUAGGUCCCAAGGGUAUGGCUGUUCGCCAUUUAAAGUGGUACGCGAGCUGGGUUUAGAACGUCGUGAGACAGUUCGGUCCCUAUCUGCCGUGGGCGCUGGAGAACUGAGGGGGGCUGCUCCUAGUACGAGAGGACCGGAGUGGACGCAUCACUGGUGUUCGGGUUGUCAUGCCAAUGGCACUGCCCGGUAGCUAAAUGCGGAAGAGAUAAGUGCUGAAAGCAUCUAAGCACGAAACUUGCCCCGAGAUGAGUUCUCCCUGACUCCUUGAGAGUCCUGAAGGAACGUUGAAGACGACGACGUUGAUAGGCCGGGUGUGUAAGCGCAGCGAUGCGUUGAGCUAACCGGUACUAAUGAACCGUGAGGCUUAACCUUACAACGCCGAAG